rnacentral:rRNA from 1 species
UACGUAGGGUGCGAGCGUUACUCGGAAUUACUGGGCGUAAAGCGUGCGUAGGCGGUUCGUUAAGUGCGUCGUGAAAGCCCCGGGCUCAACCUGGGAAUGGCGAUGGAAACUGGCGGGCUGGAGUAUGGCAGAGGGGGGUGGAAUUCCGCGUGUAGCAGUGAAAUGCGUAGAGAUGCGGAGGAACACCGAUGGCGAAGGCAGCCCCCUGGGCCAAUACUGACGCUCAGGCACGAAAGCGUGGGGAGCAAACAGG